rnacentral:rRNA from 1 species
GUGGCGCAACGGGUGAGUAACACGUGAGCAACCUGCCCCGGACUCUGGGAUAAGCGCUGGAAACGGCGUCUAAUACUGGAUACGAGCUGCGAAGGCAUCUUCAGCAGCUGGAAAGAAUUUCGGUCCGGGAUGGGCUCGCGGCCUAUCAGCUUGUUGGUGAGGUAACGGCUCACCAAGGCGUCGACGGGUAGCCGGCCUGAGAGGGUGACCGGCCACACUGGGACUGAGACACGGCCCAGACUCCUACGGGAGGCAGCAGUGGGGAAUAUUGCACAAUGGGCGAAAGCCUGAUGCAGCAACGCCGCGUGAGGGACGACGGCCUUCGGGUUGUAAACCUCUUUUAGCAGGGAAGAAGCGAAAGUGACGGUACCUGCAGAAAAAGCGCCGGCUAACUACGUGCCAGCAGCCGCGGUAAUACGUAGGGCGCAAGCGUUAUCCGGAAUUAUUGGGCGUAAAGAGCUCGUAGGCGGUCUGUCGCGUCUGCUGUGAAAACCCGAGGCUCAACCUCGGGCCUGCAGUGGGUACGGGCAGACUAGAGUGCGGUAGGGGAGAUUGGAAUUCCUGGUGUAGCGGUGGAAUGCGCAGAUAUCAGGAGGAACACCGAUGGCGAAGGCAGAUCUCUGGGCCGUAACUGACGCUGAGGAGCGAAAGGGUGGGGAGCAAACAGGCUUAGAUACCCUGGUAGUCCACCCCGUAAACGUUGGGAACUAGUUGUGGGGUCCUUUCCACGGAUUCCGUGACGCAGCUAACGCAUUAAGUUCCCCGCCUGGGGAGUACGGCCGCAAGGCUAAAACUCAAAGGAAUUGACGGGGACCCGCACAAGCGGCGGAGCAUGCGGAUUAAUUCGAUGCAACGCGAAGAACCUUACCAAGGCUUGACAUAUACGAGAACGGGCCAGAAAUGGUCAACUCUUUGGACACUCGUAAACAGGUGGUGCAUGGUUGUCGUCAGCUCGUGUCGUGAGAUGUUGGGUUAAGUCCCGCAACGAGCGCAACCCUCGUUCUAUGUUGCCAGCACGUAAUGGUGGGAACUCAUGGGAUACUGCCGGGGUCAACUCGGAGGAAGGUGGGGAUGACGUCAAAUCAUCAUGCCCCUUAUGUCUUGGGCUUCACGCAUGCUACAAUGGCCGGUACAAAGGGCAGCAAUACCGCCAGGUGGAGCGAAUCCCAAAAAGCCGGUCCCAGUUCGGAUUGAGGUCUGCAACUCGACCUCAUGAAGUCGG